rnacentral:rRNA from 1 species
GACAGAGGCCUCAAGCGUUAGGCGGAAUCACUGGGCUUAAAGCGUGUGUAGGCGGACUUCUAAGUGCCUUGUGAAAUCCCACGGUUCAACCGUGGAACUGCUGGGCAUACUGGGAGUCUUGGGCCAUUCAGGGGCAACUGGAACAAGCGGUGGAGCGGUGAAAUGCGUAGAUAUCGCUUGGAACGCCGAAGGUGAAAACAGGUUGCUGGGGAUGUGCCGACGCUGAGACACGAAAGCCAGGGGAGCAAACGGG